UGGGGAAUAUUGCACAAUGGGCGAAAGCCUGAUGCAGCGACGCCGCGUGAGGGAUGACGGCCUUCGGGUUGUAAACCUCUUUCGCUUAUGGUCAAGCCGCAACACAUGGUUGUGGUGAGGGUAGUGGGUAAAGAAGCGCCGGCUAACUACGUGCCAGCAGCCGCGGUAAUACGUAGGGCGCGAGCGUUGUCCGGAAUUAUUGGGCGUAAAGGGCUUGUAGGCGGUUGGUCGCGUCUGCCGUGAAAUCCUCUGGCUUAACUGGGGGCGUGCGGUGGGUACGGGCUGACUUGAGUGCGGUAGGGGAGACUGGAACUCCUGGUGUAGCGGUGGAAUGCGCAGAUAUCAGGAAGAACACCGGUGGCGAAGGCGGGUCUCUGGGCCGUUACUGACGCUGAGGAGCGAAAGCGUGGGGAGCGAACAGGAUUAGAUACCCUGGUAGUCCACGCUGUAAACGUUGGGCACUAGGUGUGGGGGCCACCCGUGGUUUCUGCGCCGUAGCUAACGCUUUAAGUGCCCCGCCUGGGGAGUACGGCCGCAAGGUUG
rnacentral:rRNA from 1 species